GUGCUUGGUUCAGCAGCACAUAUAUGAAAAUUGAAAGGAUACAAAGAAAUUUAGCGUGGCCCCUGCACAAAGAUGACAUGCAAAUUUGUGAAGCUUUCCAUAUUUUU
ensembl:snRNA U6 U6 spliceosomal RNA